GGGUUGUGAGGUUAAGCGACUAAGCGUACACGGUGGAUGCCCUGGCAGUCAGAGGCGAUGAAGGACGUGCUAAUCUGCGAUAAGCGUCGGUAAGGUGAUAUGAACCGUUAUAACCGGCGAUUUCCGAAUGGGGAAACCCAGUGUGUUUCGACACACUAUCAUUAACUGAAUCCAUAGGUUAAUGAGGCGAACCGGGGGAACUGAAACAUCUAAGUACCCCGAGGAAAAGAAAUCAACCGAGAUUCCCCCAGUAGCGGCGAGCGAACGGGGAGCAGCCCAGAGCCUGAAUCAGUGUGUGUGUUAGUGGAAGCGUCUGGAAAGGCGCGCGAUACAGGGUGACAGCCCCGUACACAAAAAUGCACAUGCUGUGAGCUCGAUGAGUAGGGCGGGACACGUGGUAUCCUGUCUGAAUAUGGGGGGACCAUCCUCCAAGGCUAAAUACUCCUGACUGACCGAUAGUGAACCAGUACCGUGAGGGAAAGGCGAAAAGAACCCCGGCGAGGGGAGUGAAAAAGAACCUGAAACCGUGUACGUACAAGCAGUGGGAGCACAGAGCAAUCUGUGUGACUGCGUACCUUUUGUAUAAUGGGUCAGCGACUUAUAUUCUGUAGCAAGGUUAACCGAAUAGGGGAGCCGAAGGGAAACCGAGUCUUAACUGGGCGUUAAGUUGCAGGGUAUAGACCCGAAACCCGGUGAUCUAGCCAUGGGCAGGUUGAAGGUUGGGUAACACUAACUGGAGGACCGAACCGACUAAUGUUGAAAAAUUAGCGGAUGACUUGUGGCUGGGGGUGAAAGGCCAAUCAAACCGGGAGAUAGCUGGUUCUCCCCGAAAGCUAUUUAGGUAGCGCCUCGUGAAUUCAUCUCCGGGGGUAGAGCACUGUUUCGGCAAGGGGGUCAUCCCGACUUACCAACCCGAUGCAAACUGCGAAUACCGGAGAAUGUUAUCACGGGAGACACACGGCGGGUGCUAACGUCCGUCGUGAAGAGGGAAACAACCCAGACCGCCAGCUAAGGUCCCAAAGUCAUGGUUAAGUGGGAAACGAUGUGGGAAGGCCCAGACAGCCAGGAUGUUGGCUUAGAAGCAGCCAUCAUUUAAAGAAAGCGUAAUAGCUCACUGGUCGAGUCGGCCUGCGCGGAAGAUGUAACGGGGCUAAACCAUGCACCGAAGCUGCGGCAGCGACACUGUGUGUUGUUGGGUAGGGGAGCGUUCUGUAAGCCUGUGAAGGUGUACUGUGAGGUAUGCUGGAGGUAUCAGAAGUGCGAAUGCUGACAUAAGUAACGAUAAAGCGGGUGAAAAGCCCGCUCGCCGGAAGACCAAGGGUUCCUGUCCAACGUUAAUCGGGGCAGGGUGAGUCGACCCCUAAGGCGAGGCCGAAAGGCGUAGUCGAUGGGAAACAGGUUAAUAUUCCUGUACUUGGUGUUACUGCGAAGGGGGGACGGAGAAGGCUAUGUUGGCCGGGCGACGGUUGUCCCGGUUUAAGCGUGUAGGCUGGUUUUCCAGGCAAAUCCGGAAAAUCAAGGCUGAGGCGUGAUGACGAGGCACUACGGUGCUGAAGCAACAAAUGCCCUGCUUCCAGGAAAAGCCUCUAAGCAUCAGGUAACAUCAAAUCGUACCCCAAACCGACACAGGUGGUCAGGUAGAGAAUACCAAGGCGCUUGAGAGAACUCGGGUGAAGGAACUAGGCAAAAUGGUGCCGUAACUUCGGGAGAAGGCACGCUGAUAUGUAGGUGAAGUCCCUCGCGGAUGGAGCUGAAAUCAGUCGAAGAUACCAGCUGGCUGCAACUGUUUAUUAAAAACACAGCACUGUGCAAACACGAAAGUGGACGUAUACGGUGUGACGCCUGCCCGGUGCCGGAAGGUUAAUUGAUGGGGUCAGCGCAAGCGAAGCUCUUGAUCGAAGCCCCGGUAAACGGCGGCCGUAACUAUAACGGUCCUAAGGUAGCGAAAUUCCUUGUCGGGUAAGUUCCGACCUGCACGAAUGGCGUAAUGAUGGCCAGGCUGUCUCCACCCGAGACUCAGUGAAAUUGAACUCGCUGUGAAGAUGCAGUGUACCCGCGGCAAGACGGAAAGACCCCGUGAACCUUUACUAUAGCUUGACACUGAACAUUGAGCCUUGAUGUGUAGGAUAGGUGGGAGGCUUUGAAGUGUGGACGCCAGUCUGCAUGGAGCCGACCUUGAAAUACCACCCUUUAAUGUUUGAUGUUCUAACGUGGACCCGUGAUCCGGGUUGCGGACAGUGUCUGGUGGGUAGUUUGACUGGGGCGGUCUCCUCCUAAAGAGUAACGGAGGAGCACGAAGGUUGGCUAAUCCUGGUCGGACAUCAGGAGGUUAGUGCAAUGGCAUAAGCCAGCUUGACUGCGAGCGUGACGGCGCGAGCAGGUGCGAAAGCAGGUCAUAGUGAUCCGGUGGUUCUGAAUGGAAGGGCCAUCGCUCAACGGAUAAAAGGUACUCCGGGGAUAACAGGCUGAUACCGCCCAAGAGUUCAUAUCGACGGCGGUGUUUGGCACCUCGAUGUCGGCUCAUCACAUCCUGGGGCUGAAGUAGGUCCCAAGGGUAUGGCUGUUCGCCAUUUAAAGUGGUACGCGAGCUGGGUUUAGAACGUCGUGAGACAGUUCGGUCCCUAUCUGCCGUGGGCGCUGGAGAACUGAGGGGGGCUGCUCCUAGUACGAGAGGACCGGAGUGGACGCAUCACUGGUGUUCGGGUUGUCAUGCCAAUGGCACUGCCCGGUAGCUAAAUGCGGAAGAGAUAAGUGCUGAAAGCAUCUAAGCACGAAACUUGCCCCGAGAUGAGUUCUCCCUGACCCUUUAAGGGUCCUGAAGGAACGUUGAAGACGACGACGUUGAUAGGCCGGGUGUGUAAGCGCAGCGAUGCGUUGAGCUAACCGGUACUAAUGAACCGUGAGGCUUAACCUUACAACGCCGAAGGUGUUU
rnacentral:rRNA from 1 species